rnacentral:rRNA from 1 species
GAUGAACGCUAGCGGCAGGCUUAAUACAUGCAAGUCGAGGGGCAGCAUGGUGUAGCAAUACACUGAUGGCGACCGGCAAACGGGUGCGGAACACGUACGCAACCUUCCCAAAACUGGUGAAUAGCCCUCCGAAAGGAGGAUUAAUACACCGUAACAUAAUGAAAUGGCAUCAUUUUAUUAUUAUAACUCCGGUGGUUUUGGAUGGGCGUGCGACUGAUUAGGUAGUUGGCGGGGUAACGGCCCACCAAGCCUGCGAUCAGUAACUGGUGUGAGAGCACGACCAGUCACACGGGCACUGAGGCACGGGCCCGACUCCUACGGGAGGCAGCAGUAAGGAAUAUUGGUCAAUGGACGAAAGUCUGAACCAGCCAUGCCGCGUGAAGGAUGAAGGUCCUCUGGAUUGUAAACUUCUUUUAUAGGGGACGAAAAAAGGGAAUUCUUUCUCACUUGACGGUACCCUAGGAAUAAGCACCGGCUAACUCCGUGCCAGCCGCCGCUGUAAUAC